GGUUACUCCUGAACACUGCCCCAGGGCCACUUAUAAGAGGGUGUGCAGACUUUUUACAUCCACACUAUUUCAGUGGUCAAGAAGUGAUCAGUCAGUAGGAGCAUCUUACUUCCGUCCUUACUAUCCGAGGCAUCAGCAACGUCAACAGCUGCUGCUUCUCCCGCUGACGGUGGUGGAAAUUUUUUUUUCCGUUAAUCGCCCUGAUGACGUGGACGGACCACAACGCAUCACACCCAGAUCACUGACCUUUUCUGAACAUGGACAGAAGAGUAGGACUCUUGUGGCUGGCUUUGAUCAUUGUGGUUUCUCACUGCUGUCACGGUCCUGCAGCACCUCUCGGGAAUAUGUAUGCAUCCGCUCGCCACUGGGCAGUCGGGCAUUUGAUGGGAAAGAAGAGAGUUGAAAGGCAGCUGGUGUUUUAUAGAGGAAAACCCAAAGAACUCUUCGAGGAAGCUCAGACCCAAAAUGCGAUCCUUCAAUCAGCAAUCAGAAAAUGCUCCUUGAGAGAUGGCAGACCUGCAUAUUCUCGCCAUAGAUGUGCAGGAGCGAAGGCUACGCGCUCAACAAUGCUCAAGUAUUUAAACAUCCACGCACACGCUUGAAACUAGUAGACAGUCGUGGCAAACUUUUUGGAAGUGACUAAAAUGUUUUGUUUUCCCCUGUACCUCUGCUUUCAUGUGUUACUUUUGAUAAAUACCUGUUGUUGUUGUUGUUUCUUCACAUGCACACAUUAUACCUUUCUGUACGUUGUGUGAAAGAUAGAUUAGAGAGAAUCAUAAUCGGUUAUACAUUUUAAACACUUUCUUCCAUGUUAUGUAGUCCGUACUGUACACAGAAAAUCGUUCACUGUUUAAGGUAAUUUGACUUUUACCCAGCAGAGGACGCUCAAACACCCUUUUAAAGGUUUUGAUUGCUUGACGCUGAAAAUCAAGCACAUUUCUCGAACUGUUGCGCUAUUUAUGAUCACGGCAGACCGAAAUAAACAAAAGUAAUCAAAUUUGAAGUGCCUAUAACAGCUGAGUAAUGUCCUUUGAACGCCACAAUUUUUUGACAGCUCCUAAAGUGGUUCUCGUCAGACUUUAGUGUACCUAGUAUUGUAGUCCAUGACAUGACGCAGGGUAAAAGUGAUUUAUUACACAGUUUUUUUUUUCAAUAAUCACAUUUUAGGAGGAUCCAAGUUAACCUUGCAAUAAUAAUCAAUGGAGUAUAAAAGCAAAUUAGAGCAAGGAAAUGUUGGGAAAAAAAUCCAGAAUUUCUCUUGUGUCACUCUCAGCAUUUAAAAAAAAACCCCAGUAGGAUGCUUUGACAGAGAGAGUUUUGGGGUCCCUCUGGAUUUGCAGACAAUAGUGAGCGCUAAUUGCAACAAGUUGGUUGCACACGUCUUCCCUCUUAAUACCAAAAUGAAAAGUUUCCUCUUCAGUCCUCAUCCCUCAUUUGUUUCACGGCUGAUUAGUGAACAAAAGGGACAACAAGCCACUUUCACCCCAGUGAUUAAGUUUCUAAUCUCACCGGCCGAUGGGAUAACGUUUACCGGAGUUAAUGAGGAGGAAACAAAUCGUUCUCUGAGGGGUCUGGAGGACGUCAGCCAGGUUAAGGAGCUUUCUGUGGAAGAAAGACCCUCAGUGUUUAUUUUGUGUUAGUGGGGGGAAAAAAUAAAGCUCGCUUGAAAUCAGAAUCUUAGCGUUAGUGUCUUCAAAAUGAACAUAGUGGAACGUAAAAAAUGAAAAUGGGAAAUUCACGUUCAAAGAGAAGAAUAUACGUUUUGUUAAGUAAUAUUUGAAGUAGUUAUGCUCCAGAGCCGCCAUAAACGUUGUUACUUGUAGUCGAAAUGUAAGUCACUACAGACAGUGGAUGAUGGCUGUGAACUCAGUUUGGCAGAUCGUGAGUAAUUUGUCAAAAGUUGAUGUUUAUGGUCAAAGUCUACAUCAAACAAAGAUAACACUUUGUGUAGUGAAAACCACUGCACCACUUCAAAUCAGCUGUCUUAAAGCCAACACAUGAUGGGAAAUGCUAUGGAAGCUCCAAUGAAUAGCAUCAGUUUUGCAAUGUUACAAACGUUUAAACAAUGUAUAGUGGAAUAUAAAUGGCAGAACAACACAUGCAGACAGAUAUUGUACUCUGCAAAGAACGAUUAAUAUUAUGGUGGGAACUGAGGAGCAUAGAAGUCACUAAGUACAUCCGUAUGUCUGUACUUUACUGCUUACAGACGGUCGAGAUGCACACAGCAGAAGGAGCGGCACAAUGUCUAACGAAUUGAAACAAAAAAUGUGGCAAUUACGUCAGUAAUGCCCAUUAUUUUUUUAAGUACAAAGUUGUAUAGUCCCAUUCAUCCAUCCAUCCAUUCAUCCAUUUUCUUAGCCACUUAUCCUCACGAGGGUCGCAGGGAGUGCUGGAGC